rnacentral:rRNA from 1 species
UACAGAGGGGGCAAGCGUUGUUCGGAAUUACUGGGCGUAAAGGGCGCGUAGGCGGCCGCCUAAGUCAGACGUGAAAUCCCUCGGCUCAACCGGGGAACUGCGUCUGAUACUGGGUGGCUUGAAUCCGGGAGAGGGAUGCGGAAUUCCAGGUGUAGCGGUGAAAUGCGUAGAUAUCUGGAGGAACACCGGUGGCGAAGGCGGCAUCCUGGGACCGGCAUUGACGCUGAGGCGCGAAAGCCAGGGGAGCAAAGCGGG